rnacentral:tRNA from 1 species
GGGCACUUAGCUCAAUGGCAGAGCGUUGCAUUCACAUUGCAAAGGCCACAGGUUCAAUCCCUGUAGUGCCCA